GAUGAACGCUAGCGGCAGGCCUAACACAUGCAAGUCGAGGGGCAGCAUAAAACAAGCUUGCUUGUUUGGUGGCGACCGGCGCACGGGUGCGUAACGCGUAUGCAACCUACCCUGUACUGGGGGAUAGCCCGGAGAAAUUCGGAUUAAGACCCCAUAGCACUUAAGAAUGGCAUCAUUCAUAAGUUAAAGGUUACGGUACAGGAUGGGCAUGCGUCCCAUUAGCUAGAUGGUAAGGUAACGGCUUACCAUGGCAACGAUGGGUAGGGGGCCUGAGAGGGUGGUCCCCCACACUGGUACUGAGACACGGACCAGACUCCUACGGGAGGCAGCAGUGAGGAAUAUUGGGUCAAUGGGCGCAAGCCUGAACCAGCCAUGCCGCGUGCAGGAAGACGGUCCUAUGGAUUGUAAACUGCUUUUAUUGGGAAUAAACCUAUUUACGUGUAGAUAGCUGAAGGUACCAAAUGAAUAAGCACCGGCUAACUCCGUG
rnacentral:rRNA from 1 species